rnacentral:lncRNA from 1 species
AUGACUCCAUGUAUAAAGCGACUUGUUUUGCUCAUUGUGAGCAUAUUGUCAGUAGUGCAAUCUGGCCUUGUACCACAAAAAUUCAUUCAUGGGUCCAUAAAAAAGGCUUUCGUCGUUCCAGAUGCUUACACCCAGGCUCCAGACCACGGUAUCGAGAUAUGGUUUGGUAAUCACCAAGUGGAGUAUGGAAAUCACGUAUGGAUUGAAAAUCUCAAGGAAAAACCCACGCACAUGAACUGGGUUCAUAAUAAAAAAGAUAGAUUCACCUUAAUAAUGUCAGGUAGUGUUUUUCUCUAUAAUUUCAUAACCGCCGAAUCAAAUAAUUCACCACCUCUAACUUACAUUAAAAUGGCUGCGAAAAAAUUGCCGAAAGGAACGUGGCAGCCAUAUUUAUUCCGCCCAACUGACCGCUAUUCAAUAUCAGCCUCUCUCCUAAACUUUGAUGCCAAAAUGCUGAUCCUGCUGUUCCAUUGUGAACUGAGACUGAUAUCAUCAUGGUUGCGUCUAAAUAUUCACAGGGAAAAUAUGACAUCUCAGGCCAGACAUGAAUUUAAAUAGUUGGUUUAAUCGAUUAGGUACUUUAUUGGGGUUCCUCGAAUACCUAAGGUCACGACAAUUUAAUAAACGUAUGGUUUUUAAAAAGCCACGUAAUCCAUCAGAAUCUAUUCACCAUCAAAUUUGGCGGAAAAUUCACGUUUCAAAUAACAUUUUCUCAUGAUUACGUUUUUUGACAAGCGAACUUCAAACCAUCAUCACUCCCAUUUCGUUUAACAUUUCAUGGAAAGUUUUUGCCAAUAUAAUUUUAAAAUACAACUCUCUAAGCAGUGUGGCACUAAAUCUCAGUUGGACGUAUUUAUGCUUAAAAAACCAGAUACAUAGGGAGUAUGCUCGUUAGUAGAAGGCCGAAAAUUAAUGGAAAUUAUAAAGAACGAGGGAUGUCAGCAGCGACAAAGACUCCAGGGACUCGACGAGACUCUUCAACUCAUGAGCCCUGUCCAUGACGCUCUUGUCACGUGCCCACAGCUCAUGAGUUAGCAUAUUUUGGCUCUUAGUUCCUUUUGAUUUGAUGUCAAAUCCCACUUAUCGAUUUCACAAAAGGAAUCGCGCCAACUUUUACAUUGUUUCUUAUGCAGCUUUUACCAGCACACCCCCUCUUUUCACACACGUUUCUUGUUCCUUUUAAUAUAAACACGUCCAAUUUUGGAUCUUUCGACACUAAGUUCCCUCAUUCCGUCCGUGGCCAGUCAAAAGAUUUCCUCUGCCUCGUUAUCAUAAAGAUGAAGUCAAGAGUCCCGUCAAUAUUAACAUUGUUGUAAAAUUUGAGUAGUGUGUAAUGAUUUUCAGGGUUAGAUGCUCCAUCGAGUGACGAUCCUCACGACCGCGAAGCGCUUUACUGGAUGGUUGGAAACAUUUUAGAAACGAAUGUCGAGGAUGGAGAACAUUGGGCACCAUAUGUUCAGCCUUGGUCUCUCCAAGGAGCUGGUAAGCGUGAAAGUCAGAGUUUCAUCUAUAAAUUGUCGAAAAGUGCGAUGAAAAUUUUCAGAAAAUCAAUUCCUUGCAAAAUAAUAUUGCAAGAAAACUUACAACCUGCGAUGUGGAAGCAACUUUACUUGAGCGAUUGUUGUUUUCUGUACUUCCAAAUUGGCUUUGGAAGUACGACAAAAUUACUCCUUAUAAUUCUCGCGAAAAAUUAGAGUUGCUAUGAUGAAGCAGGACUGGUUGCUUUGACAAGAAAUACUUCCGACGGAAAGUCAAAGUCAAAAACAGAGAUGUGGACUUUGAUUAGUUUCAUCUACCCUUUCUCGAAAUCAAAAUAAUAUAUCGGUGAUAGGCUGAAAAGAAAAACUGGAGAAAGUAAAAAUGGUAUGUCUAAAAAUUCAACAACAAUCAGUUCUACAAACCUACGCAUAUAUUUUUACGAAUUUUAUGUAUUCUUUUACAGGACCACAUCGCGUGAUUUUCACAUAUACAAGCAGUAUAGAGGUAGAAAAUUAAUUACAAGGAGAAAAAGUUAGGACACAGGUAUGAAAAAUCAUGAAUAUCAAGCUUAAAAAUGUGUUAAUUCAAUUCAUUUUUACAGAACAUGCUAAUUAAUGAAAAUGAAAAUCAUUACUUAUCAUCUUUUUAGUCAAAAAUAAUCACACGAAUCGAUUGAUUAUUUACGUUGUCCUCUCAGCGUACUUAAAUAUUCUUGUCAAAUUAACAAACUCUUCAUUUAAGAUUCCAGAGAAAGUCCUAAACAUAUCGACAGAGAUCCUUUUUCAGCUCAAAUCGAAUUUGAAAAGGCAAUUUCCUUACUAAAUUAUACCAUGUUGAUUUACUGAAUUCCCACUAGUAAUAAAUAGCGCUUAUUUUUUUUAACUUAAAAUUCAAUUCAAAUCUGACACUUAUACUUUUCUUUCCAGAAUUAUAGGUGACGAACGAAAAAACUUUUCCACCCGAAAAUUUGGCGAAAGGUACUCUUUAGGCGCACCGUGGGCAGCGAAUUUUUUUGACCUAUUUGACAAUUCAGUUAUCCUCCUUGGGCUAUAUAAACAAUUAAAUUCAAUGAUGUUUACUUUCAACAAACAUUUUCCUGUAUGUUGGUUGCGAUCAGAUUGGAUUUGAGAAAAAACGACUGUUAUCGACUAAACGAUUUCUCAACAAAGCAGUACAAACUUUAGGAAAAGUGUAUUAUCGUAGGUGAAUAGUAAAUGUAUGUUACACUAAGUAUACAUGCACGUAUCUAUAGAUUUAUACCCGUAUUACAAAGGGGAAUUUUUAGAUUAAGUAAAUGACAGUCUUAUGUGUUUACACUUUGCAAUCGUUUCUUACGCUAAUUUUUUCAUAAAUUGUAAAUCUUUACCAUAAAUCUUUGCUGCUCUGACGUCAAGGCGUAUCUCUAUUUUCACCAUGAGCCCUAAAAAGCAGAGAGUCGUAUGGAGAGCAGGGCUCACAUGGACGUAUUUCUACCAAACAGACCUAUGUGCAAGUGAGAAAUAUGGGGUGUGCUCGUUAGUCUCUGGCCGUAAGAGUCAAUGAGAAUAAUAAAGCGCCAGUGACGUCAGCGGUGAGUGCGGUGAGGGUUUCGGGAUCCGGAUCGGGAUCGGGAUCGCCGUGCGUUGUCUUUAACUCAUGAGCCCUGUCCACAAGGCUCUCUUGCCAUGCCCGCGGCUUAUGAAUUCCGCAUUCAGUUGCACAUAGGUCUGUUUGAUAGAAUGCAAUAUCCCGCUUUUCCAAUUCUUCAAAAGGAAUCACGCACACUUUUACAUUGCUUCUUAUGCAGAUUUCUAGAGCAGACCCCAUAUUUCUCACCACCACAUAGGUCUGUUUGGUAGAAAUACGUCCACAUGGAAAUUGAGAUACACCUUUUAUCUUAGAAAGACGACGAAAUAUCUGUCACACUUGGAGCCAAAACUAUUAAAUUCUUGUCUUUCCUUAGAAUAUAGCUCUUUAUAUUUUUUAUCUUUAUAUUUAUUCAAGACUAGCAGGAAACCCGUGCUACGCACAGGAAAAGCCCCACCAUUAGCAAUCACUGUGAUUAGU